rnacentral:snRNA from 1 species
GAACUAGCUUUGGCAGCACAUAUACUGAAAUUGUAUCAAUACUGAGAAGAUUAGCAUGGUUCUUGAACAAGGAUGACAUGCAAAUUCCUGUAAUGUUCCACUUGUUU